CUAGAAGAGAUCCUGCCCAGGUAUGGCUUUCCAGUUAUGAUAGGGUCCGACAACGGGCCAGCCUUCGUUUCUAAGCCUUACAGCGGAUACACGAGACAAUCUGGCCCAAACUAAAAGAGCUAUAUGCAACAGGACCCCCGCCUACUCCACACCAGCUCCGGCCAGGUGACUGGGUCCUUGUCAAACGCCAUCGACAAGAGACCCUAGAACCCAGGUGGAAAGGACCUUACCAGAUCAUCCUGACAACGCCGACGGCCACCAAGGUGGACAGCAUAGCUGCCUGGAUCCAUUACACCCACGUCAAGCCGGUGGACCCAUUUUCUGACCUCAUCAAGUCCACUAAAGCUGACGUCACCUGGACUGUUGACCGGAGUAAGGACAAUCCCCUCAAACUGACCUUGCGCCGUACCCUCCCCCAUGAUGACCAAGGUACUGCUGAUAGCCCUAAUGAUAGUCCUAACCCUCAACCCUCGAGCCACGAGGGGAGGACUCAGCCCUCCCCCCGAUAAGAAUACUUUAAUACAACAACUAUACGGUGCACCGUGCGAGUGCAGGGGAGGUACUAUGGAGACUCCUGUUGUUCCUCGAGGGUAUACUCAUAUGCAGGACUGCGGGGGCAUAACUGCAUAUCUUGUUCAGGAAUAUAAGGGCACCGGGGUCUCUCAAAGCUGGCAAUGCUACCAUAAGCCUAAGCCACUCCCCCCUCGAGCUACUUGCCCCUGUUCUACCUUCCAGGAAUCAAUGCAUAGCAUGUGCUAUUCCUCUUACCAGCAAUGUAUAGGGGCCAAUAACAAGACUUAUUUCACAGCCAUACUACAGAAUAAUAAAAGCCCCACCAUUAGUGAUGAUAAUAAAUACCUUCAGGCUGGAUGCACUGGCAUCCCCGGGACCCCGGUAUGCUGGAAUACCAGGGCCCCCACACAUAUGUCAGACGGUGGGGGGCCCCAGGACGCAGUGCGCCAGAUAGAAACCC